CCAGUGUGUAGGGAGAGAGCACGAGAAGGAUUCUGUGCCGGCUUAAGGGUGAACUUCCUGGGGGUGGGGACUCUGUGGCAGAUGGGGGAAGAUUCACCCAGGGAGCUUAGAAAACAGGCGGUAGGUCCUGGGAGUCUGCGUUGGUGCACUUCCGGGUUUGAGAUCCCGGGACCUGAGGGCCUGCAAGGGUGGAAAGGCCUCAUGCCACGCUGGUGACUGGCGGCUCCGCACACAGGCUGGUGAGGAAGGGUCCAAAACCCCCUUGCCUUCAGGGCCCGAUACAGAAGCUCAAAGGGAAAGUGCGGGAAGAGGGUCUCCCCCCGCCAGACCAUCUCAUUCUCUCCACCCGCACCAUCCUGCCCACGCACCUCCACCGCGGCCACUCCAGCUUGCAACCCCGCGGAGCGCUCAAAGUUCCCGGUUCGCCUUAGGUAUUGGUAUCUGAGGGAGGAAGGGGAUAUGGGGUGGGAAAUCACAGCCACCCAUUUCUGGGGGAA